ensembl:lncRNA
CAAACUCAUGUCAAGGUUGUCACAGACAUGCCGGAGCUCAAAGUCAAUAGGCAUGUAAGUCCCAUCCAUCAUUCCUCAGGUUCAAACAUCUACCAGCCUCUCCCUGAUUCGGAUUAACCCUCAGUCCCCACGAGCUUUUGUGCUUGACUAACUCUCUGCUCCAUCUCAUCCUGUUAGGAGUGAGCCUGUUCAGCUGGGAUGCUUCAGACCAAGAGGACGGACUGCCAGAUCCAGUGGGCAGGACCAAAGAGCUGGCUUCAUGUUCCAGAUGAUGAAUGUACAAGAAGAUGGAGCCAUCAUCAUUCUGGAUCUUUGAGGACCACAUGGAAGACAGUUGCCCUGAAGAGUCUCUCAGGCCCCUUUUACUUUGUGUGGGAAACUGUAUCUCCAGCUUGGCUGCCACAUUCUCAACAAAGUGGACAGAGUCUAUGAUGGGACUGUCAAAGGAGUAAAGUCUUAGAUCAGAGGAGCUGCCAUGGAAAAGGCCCAGCUGACACAGGCUGACACAGGCCCCCUGGUAUCCCUGCCCAGGGGUGAUAGAUGGGAUCGGGUACAACCAUGGGGCUUUGCUUGAAGAUGCCUUCUCCAAAGAUAUGUGGACACCCCUCCAGGUGCCCUCAGUACCUGAUUCACAGCCUCCCUGCCCUAAGCCCUCUCAGUCUGGAAAAAAGCCCCAACACCACAUUCCUCACUUCCCUCUUCCAUCCCAAACUUUUUUGCUGACAUCCUGGUAAAGCAGUUCCAACUCAUCAAUGGGGCCACAGUGCAUACAAG